ensembl:lncRNA
CAUGGUGCCAAGACUGUCAUAAACGGCUCCUGAGGUCUGAAAAAACGACAGCAGGAUUCAGCGUUCCUCUGACAACCACUCAGAAAAUAGAAUGUGAAGAAGAAGGAGGAAGGGAAGAUGCGGGGCCAGCCAUCAGAAUGCUCCCUGUGGCUCCAUGGAUGCCUAGAAAUGCUGGUCACUUAAAGGGCACAGGUUACAGAAUGUCAGAUGACUGAAGUAAAAGAGGAAGUAACAUUGCUCAGAGAUGGAGAUUUGUGGCUUCUCUCUUUGGAAAGAUGAGAAAGGGACUAGAAAAUCCUCCGGAUGGGCCUUCAAAGGUCAAUUACAGGUGAAAGGAAGCUCAAAGGUAAAAUUGGAUCAUGCACAAAAUUGUGCAACUCAACUGGCAGUGCUUGACAUUUUUGGCCUAAUUUAAGGGAAACAGUCUACUCUUUGCUACAUGGUUGUCUGUCUGCUAACCAGGCCUGACACUAUAGCUGCACAAAGUGAUGAGAUGCCAAAUAAUAAGAAAUCCAGUAAGUCUUCUUGCUACCCUUCCUACUGUCACGCUAUUCAAGAAAUUUGUUAAGCACCUACUAUAAGUUAGUCACUAUCUUGGGUGCAGGGAAUACAUAAAUGAAUGUCUAAGCUCACGGCCCCAAGAAGAGAGGUAAGAAAAUAGAUACAGGCUGUAAAUUCUAUUACAGAGAUACUAUAUUAAUCAGGAAGGUUGGAAUAUGCUGCAAUAAACAACCCCAGUGUUUUAUUGGCUAACCAAAGGAAAGCUUAUUUCUUGCUCACACAUAAUCAGAGCUCUGUGGGUCUAGGCAUUUUUCCAUGACAACUGUUCUUCAUGUGGCACCUUGGCAAACCAAGACACUGGAACUUCCACUGUGCUGAAGCUUCAGGGAACAUGUGUCCUCGGUUGAUGUGAGAGGCAGGGAAAGAAGGGUGGAAAAUCACCUACAUUUCUUAAAUUCUGUAGCCUGCAAGUGAUGCUAAUUAUUUCCACUCAUAUAUCACUGGCCAAAGUAAGUCACAUAGCCUGCCUAACUUCAAACUAAUGGAAAAAUACACUCUUUAAUGUGCUGGGAAGGAGAGGGGAUUUCAAUAAGGUGGUGAUUAUUAGAGAUGUCUACCAUAUAGGCAUAAUGCUCGGUUGAGGAGAGCACAAAGGAGCAAGAAUCUGAGUGUGUGUGAUUAAGAGAGGUUAGGGGGCAGUUUCUUGAAAGAAGCAGCAUCUUUAAGAAUAAAGAGGAGCUGCCUUUUGAAGAAGGGAGGAAGUAAAUUCCAGGCAGAUGGAACCACAUGCACUCAGGUAUGAGUAUAUUGGGAUAAUUAUCAGUUGUUGACAUCUGCAGAGAGAAGGGUUGACAGAGGAAUGUCUGUGCAUAUAGCCAGCACAUAGACCAUCAAGUGCCCCUUUAAACAGUGGAAUAAUGGAAUAGAAGCAGGGUUUGCAGCAAUUUCUAUACAAGAAUAUAAGGGAUUUUGACACCAUUCUUACUUAGUAUGAGAACAAUAACUCAAGGAGUUCUUAAGCAGAUUAGGACCAGAGAAAUAGUUUCCCAACUUGAAGAAACUUAACAGAAGUUAAAGGAGCAUUUGAAGAAAGGGCUCAUCCGUAAUAUAAUUCUCAGACCUCAGACUGCAAACUGCUCCUUCAGAGCAGAAGUUGUUCCUAUCUGAUUCCAGGAUCAUUCUAGGAUAGACAGAAUCAUUCUGUUCUGUCUUCUUGGGAAAAAUAGAUUUCAUAUUCUUUUCCCUCUAUAAAUACAGAAUGAAUAGGUUACUUUUUUCCAACAUCUUUUUCCCUUAUGAAAAUUUCCUAGUAAUGGUAGGAAGCAUCUCUGGCUCCUGUAAAGCCCCAGGAGAGUUUCACUGCAGCACUGUUUUAUGUAACAUGUAAAAUGACUGGAGGGCAGAUUGGUUUUGGUGGUGAAUCAGCACGCUGCAAGUUCUCAUUAAAUGUUCAACAGGAACAACAUCAAAAGUGAGUGUUCCCUGUCAUACCGUUGGUAUAAAUCCUGUGAAUCAGUUUGAGGAUUUCAAGGGGAUUUUGCCCCAGUUACACAUGUUCUUUGGAAAGCAACAAAUAUGCAUGUAGCUCAAUAGCUAGGAAUUUGAGCCAAAGAAACAUAUUUCUUUGUUUCUACUAUAAUUAUUACAUGGGUUCUUGUAUUCUUUUCUUGUGGGAAAACAUGACCAGCAAGCAGCACAGUAAUAUAUGAUAUAAAUAAAAUAUGAAUUUUAGAUUUUCAAAGAAAAGUUAAUGUUCAUCUUAUCUGAAUAUCAUUUUACAAAUGGAAACAAUGUAUUCAAAGUCACAUAGCCGGUAAUACUAGCAACUAGAACCAAGAUCUGUUGACUUAAAGCUUGGUGAUCUCUCUUAUAUUUUAAAAUAAACUUAAUUAAUAAAAAUAAUAGAAAUUAAUUAAUGAAAAUUUUCACUAAAAUUAAUAAAACUUAAGUUUUAUUAAUUCAUAUCCAAAUGAGUCACUUUUAUUAUUAACAGUAGCAGUAGUAUUUGCCCAUACUAUUUAGAUUUACUUACAUACUUAGCUUUUUCUUUUCUUUUUUUGGUUAUUACUAUUUUCUGCAUAUCACUCCUAACUUUUCGGUUUAAUCCUUUCUGACCCAACUAUGUCCUUGAGUUAGAGUUCUGUCAGUAGUGUCUGAAAAUUAUUAUUUGUUAUUAUUUCACCUCAAGUAUUAAAAGAGCACGUAUAUAUGUAUGGAUUUUUGAGUAGAAAAUGUUUAGUCUAAUAUAGAAGAUUGAUUUUCUUUUACUCUCAGAAUUUAAAAAUUAUUUCAUUGUCUUCUGGUUUUUAUUGUUGCUGAUGAGAGGUCUGCUGCCAUAUUAAUUGUAGGUCUUUUGCAUGGAACUAUUUUUUUCUCAUUGUUUUUUUUUAAAAAGAUGUUAUCUUCAUCUUGAGGUGCUGCAGUUUUACUAUUAUGUGUCUAGAUAAAUAUUUUUUUUUCUUUAUCCUGCUUGGAUAUCUUGCUUUGUCAUCAGUAUGCUUUAUCAAACUGAGCAUUCAUAUGUUUCAUAUUUUUCAAUUCUAGAAUAUCUUUUUUAAAUCAAAUUCCAAGUCAUUGUCUUCCAAAGAACUUGUGUUACUCUUAUUCUAUCUGCUAUUGUUUUCUGUUACUCAUUCUAGA